rnacentral:rRNA from 1 species
UACGUAGGGGGCGAGCGUUGUCCGGAAUUAUUGGGCGUAAAGAGCGUGUAGGCGGUUCGGUAAGUCUGCCGUGAAAACCUGGGGCUCAACCCUGGGCGUGCGGUGGAUACUGCCGGGCUAGAGGGUGGUAGAGGCGAGUGGAAUUCCCGGUGUAGCGGUGAAAUGCGCAGAUAUCAGGAGGAACACCGGUGGCGAAGGCGGGUCUCUGGGCCGAUACUGACGCUGAGGAGCGAAAGCGUGGGGAGCGAACAGG